CAGUCGAGCGGACAGAUGGGAGCUUGCUCCCUGAUGUUAGCGGCGGACGGGUGAGUAACACGUGGGUAACCUGCCUGUAAGACUGGGAUAACUCCGGGAAACCGGGGCUAAUACCGGAUGCUUGAUUGAACCGCAUGGUUCAAUUAUAAAAGGUGGCUUUUAGCUACCACUUACAGAUGGACCCGCGGCGCAGUAGCUAGUUGGUGAGGUAACGGCUCACCAAGGCGACGAUGCGUAGCCGACCUGAGAGGGUGAUCGGCCACACUGGGACUGAGACACGGCCCAGACUCCUACGGGAGGCAGCAGUAGGGAAUCUUCCGCAAUGGACGAAAGUCUGACGGAGCAACGCCGCGUGAGUGAUGAAGGUUUUCGGAUCGUAAAACUCUGUUGUUAGGGAAGAACAAGUACCGUUCGAAUAGGGCGGUACCUUGACGGUACCUAACCAGAAAGCCACGGCUAACUACGUGCCAGCAGCCGCGGUAAUACGUAGGUGGCAAGCGUUGUCCGGAAUUAUUGGGCGUAAAGCGCGCGCAGGCGGUUUCUUAAGUCUGAUGUGAAAGCCCCCGGCUCAACCGGGGAGGGUCAUUGGAAACUGGGGAACUUGAGUGCAGAAGAGGAGAGUGGAAUUCCACGUGUAGCGGUGAAAUGCGUAGAGAUGUGGAGGAACACCAGUGGCGAAGGCGACUCUCUGCUCUGUAACUGACGCUGAGGCGCGAAAGCGUGGGGAGCGAACAGGAUUAGAUACCCUGGUAGUCCACGCCGUAAACGAUGAGUGCUAAGUGUUAGAGGGUUUCCGCCCUUUAGUGCUGCAGCAAACGCAUUAAGCACUCCGCCUGGGGAGUACGGUCGCAAGACUGAAACUCAAAGGAAUUGACGGGGGCCCGCACAAGCGGUGGAGCAUGUGGUUUAAUUCGAAGCAACGCGAAGAACCUUACCAGGUCUUGACAUCCUCUGACAACCCUAGAGAUAGGGCUUCCCCUUCGGGGGCAGAGUGACAGGUGGUGCAUGGUUGUCGUCAGCUCGUGUCGUGAGAUGUUGGGUUAAGUCCCGCAACGAGCG
rnacentral:rRNA from 1 species